AAAGGCUGAUGUGUGUGAGAUUACCCGCUGAAUUAAGCAUAUAAGUAAGCGGAGGAAAAGAAACUACUAGGAUCCCUUA
rnacentral:ncRNA from 1 species